rnacentral:rRNA from 1 species
UGCCAGCCGCCGCGGUAAUACGGAGGGUGCAAACGUUGCUCGGAAUUAUUGGGCGUAAAGCGCGCGUAGGCGGUUACACAAGUUGGGUGUGAAAGCCCUGGGCUCAACCCAGGAAGUGCACUCAAAACUGUGUGACUUGAGUCUCGGAGGGGGUCGGAGAAUUCCCGGUGUAGAGGUGAAAUUCGUAGAUAUCGGGAGGAAUACCAGUGGCGAAGGCGCCGACCUGGACGAUGACUGACGCUGAGGUGCGAAAGCGUGGGGAGCAAACAGGAUUAGAUA